CCUCAAGCGACAAAUAAAAGAUGUCGAAAGACAACUUUCAAUUAGGAAAACAAAGUUACCAAACCUGCGCAGCAAUUCUCCCCAGCCUAAUCUGAGUGAGAAGAAACGUUUGGCCCCAAAAUCUGCUGCUUCUGCCUCUGUCCUCUCAUCCAAAUCUGUCUCUGCCACUAAACCUGCUCUCAAUUCCCCGAUGGCUGCCUGUACUGCUACCUCAACUGCUCCCAUCACAGUCACCUCCCUCUCUCCAACUGUUGCCAUGUUUGCUUCCCCAGUCACUGUCACCUCUCUUGCCCCAACUACUUCCGCUAUUGCUAUUCCAGUCGUCCCUGUGAUUGUUACUUCUUCCUCCGCGACAGCUGCAGCCGCUGUUACCCCAAUAGCAGUCACCUCUCCCGCCUCUACUGCAUCCAUUACUGCCUCCACUACCCGAAGUACAGUUGUCUCCCCUUCCUCAAGCAGACCUUCUGGCUCAAUCCCCAAGGCUGAACCACAAUACCAGGGUGGAAAUAAACGCUGUCAAGCGCAGUACCAGGGCAGUGAUAAGCACCCGCACCCUCAAGAACAACACCAGAGUGGAAAUAAGCGCCCUCGGAUUGCUAAAUCACCAGAGGUUCCUCUAAGAGCACCAUCACUUCAAAACACUGGCUUUGCACAGUCGGUGCCUGUCCCUCAUCAGCGAGCAGAAGGUCCUUCUAUAAAUCAAAAUCCAUCUGGCGGACACUACAACUGUGCUGGUUAUCGCCCACCAAACCCACAGAUGAGCUCCCAUUAUAAUUAUGGAUAUCCAUAUUAUCAUGAGAACACAUUUGGAAAACCUGGCUAUGACAGUGCUGCCCCCUUUCAGCGGCCAUAGAAUGUUACAUGAAACUCUUGAUGACAUGGGGCUUGUUCAAGUGGGUGAGGAAUUUCUUAAAAUCACCACGGUGGUCAACAAACAGCUGAGUAAAAGCUUGAAGCAAAUUAGCAAUUUAGCGACAAUUCCUUUUGGUAUUCUAGUAGCUUAUAGCUAGUUAACCUUAUAUUCUAGGACUUUGAUGCCUUUGCUCAAAGAUUCCAACGUGCCAAGAAGAUUAAACUUUUUGCAGGUGUGGUUCCACAUAAUGUUAAUAGUUAUUUUUUGCCUUGUAUGGUAGUCUUAUCUGCUGCACAGCUCAGUGUAUAUAAUCGACUUAAUGGUCUGGUUACCUCGGAGAUUUGGGAUAACAAAUGCAAGAGCCUGUCUUUUCUUGUUAUUGCUCUUUGGUUUUCAAAUUUUCAUGUCUUUUCUCCUUCGGUUCUCAAGGACAAUUUUACCCCAUCUGUCAGGAAUUCGAUAUUGUUUGAUCUACUUGUAUUAGAAUUUGAUUUAGUCUGAACUCAUCAGCUGGACAAUCUAGCAUCACUGCAUAUCAGCCUAUAAACCCAGCUAUGAACUCCUUUAUAAUGCUGUAAAUCCUUGUUGUCACUGGAGCAUAAGUGGACCACCUGACUAUGAUAAUGCGACAUCCUUUCAGAGACCACCAGGUGAAUUGCCCGCGCAAUGCCUCGGAUUCUAACAAGAAAGAAGGUGAUAGAAUAAAAUGAAAAAUUAUGGUUGCAAUACCAGCACAUCAGUAUUUGUAACUGAUACAACAAAAUAAGCCGUAAGGAACGAAAGCGAAACAUCUGCAAGUGCUUAGUGAAGGAAUCUGGUGUUGGAACAGCAGGGGCUACACGAAGAACUGCCAAAAAGAAGAAGAAAGAAAGAGCAUGAAAUCCUGACGGAGCUGCUCGAAAACUUCAUCUACUACACUGUUUCUUCAUUAGCUCUCUCUCUCUCCUUUUUUUGGCACACAAGUCAGCCAAUGUCUUGCGGAAGCUAAAGUCUUUGGAAUAUACUUACACAUAUAAAACUAUAUUGUGAUAAACUUUCAAGUUAAUCAAAGUUCACAAACAUAUUAUUUAAAUUAGUUGAAGUUGUUUGUUAUUAUUUUGAUAGAUUUGCCACCGAAGUGUUAUUUUUUGGAUAUUUUCGAUCUAAUCAAUUUAGACUUAUAAUGGAUUAAUUUUGGAUAGCAAAAGGAAAUUAAAUAAGGCUUAUUUAGACUUUAAACUUGUGCAUAAGCUUGGGCUAUAAAGGUUUUUAAUGUGGUUUAUAACUUUAUAUUCAUUGAAGAAUUAGAAUACAUACUUUGCAAGGAUUUCAAGUUCCACAUGGACUUGACGUGGUAGCAUUUAAGGGGAUCUUUCUCUUGUAUUUCUUUUUCUUAUCUUGCAGGUAUUUCUAGUACAUUAAAAAGACUAAAAUGAAGCGAUAUAAGAAAGAAAAUUCUAGCAAUUAAAACAAAGUUUUAUAAUUGAAUUUCUAUACUAGAAGUUUAAGUCAAAACACCACUCAAGAGAGUUAAAGAUUUUGUCUACAUAAAAGAAUUCUAGUAUGAAGACUUUGUUUUUAUUAUUUUAAUUUAUUUAUUUGAUGUUGAACAAUUAUUUUUAAUUAGGGUUUAUUUUAGUUCAUUAAACAUUGUUUAAGAGUUUAUUUCAUGAUUGAAAUUAUAUUAAUUGCUUCAUAGUUUGGGUUCAUUGACUUGUAACCCAAAAGGGAUCAAUUAAAGUUAUUAAUUUAGAUAAGACUAUAUAAUGUUUUUAGAGCUGUAACUAUUGACAGCUUGGUGAUAAUAAACAUGUAUUUUUUCUUUUUGAAUAUUUAUGAUAAAACAUCCUUUGUUUGCAAGGACAAAGAUCGCUUAUUUAAUUUAUCAAAGAUUAAUUGGUUUUGUGAUGUUAUUCGUAUACUUUAGGUUUUUAGGUAUAUGGUUAUUUAUGAACCCAAGUUCAUUUCAAUAUUUUUGGUUUUAGAUACAUAAUUAUUUUUAUAUCAGAGUUUUAUCAAAUUUAAUUUUUAUUUUUCUAGGUUGUAUUUCAAUUUUGUUCAGGUAGUUUGACAUCAUUAAAAAGCCUGCAUAAAAGUGCUUGAGACAAGUAAAAAUCACCAAAAAAAAAAAACCCAAAAACCUAAGAAAAAUAGAAAAAAGAGCAGAGCCAAAUUAAAAACUGCAAAAAAAUACAUAACACAAGAAAAAAGAAAAAAAGAGCAGAACAAUCAACAGUCCUCAACACACGACAAUGGGAUAAGAAAGAAUAAAAGGAACCUUGGAAGUUGACGACCGAUAAAAGAUAGUAAUUGGAAUCCAAGAAGAGCUAAACUACCGACUAAAAGAGAGAAAAUAGUAAUGAGAUAAAAAAAAAAAAAAAAAAAAAACAGAGAGGAAAUUGCAUAAGAACUUAUCCUCAAUUCUCCCAAAACAUACACAACCCUAAAAAAACCAAAAACUAAACUGAAAAUCAGACGUGAUUGUUAUGGCAGACAUGGCAACUCAUCCUAUAAUGAAUUGACAUAGCAUGGCGAGGAUGUCCUCUACAGAAACUAAAAAAACAAAGCAAAACCACACCUACCUACAUGAAGACCAUACCUAGACAUGUCUUGAUGUACAGUACUGGAUUCACCCUUCUCUUUUUCCAUGUUCUAUAAGCUAACACGAUUUGGAGUUCAAGAAAGCGCACACCUUUCUCCCUCUCUUGAUCUCGAGUCUCAUAUACCAGCUUAAUAUUUUUCUGCUUAGACUUUCAUGGAAAAAGUGUACCGAUGUUGACUUUCGUUCAUUAUUGAUGCCCUUCGUUCAUCACAGCUCUUGCAUUCUUUUAUGCAGGCAUGGUACAUCCUUUGAUGCUUUUUAUACAAGGAGGAUGGCCUUGAUUAAUCUUUUCCUUCUAAUAUUCGAAGAAUGAUUUCAGCCUCUGAAUAUUUAUGUCAACCCAGGUGCCAUUCAUGUUUGAAACUAACAAUUUGCUCUUGACACGGGAUAAUUAACUAGCUUGGUAUAGAUUGCUCCUUAAUUACUUUUGGAAAAAUGGCUUUCACUCUGCUAUUCACCUGAUCACACCUUGCUUUUUAUGAGGCUCUACAGACUCUUUUGCUGGCAUCCACUGCCUCUAUAUGUGUUUUAGCUCACCUUAUAAGCACUUUCUUAAUUUCCUGAGCUUUCUUUUGAGAUUGUUUAACAUAUCAAACGCUGGAAAAUGGCAAUAUAUAUCAGCAUAGCACAGUUAAGUUUAACAUCUGCAAUUAAUUACUAUGUUUUCAUGUUUUUGUUAUUUUUAUAUGUAAAAAACACUCCUAAAACUCAUACGCAAAGUUCAUCACGAUGAAAAUAAGCGCACAACGAAAAUCAGGCACGCACAUGCAAAUCUCACCAAAAAACAAAUUGAUAAUUUUAAAACAACAUCAACACAUUAAAGAAUCCUGGGAUGUUGAAAUAGAUGUGAGGAAACCUUGGAAAUUUUUUGGGAAUUUCUGUAAUUGGAGAAACUCGUGGUUCAUGGGAGUGAAGAGCUGUUGCACAGCUGCCGUCCUGGAGAAGCUUAUUGCAGAAGCUAAUGUCUUCAGGUCUGUGAUCAAGGCUCAAAUGAAGGGAUUCUUUUAUGAAAUUUUCCUGAGGUUAUCUCCAGCACGUGAGGAAGCUUAGGUAGAAAUUUCGGAAUUAUUGAAGCUGAGUAAGGUUGUGUUUUCAGGUGUCAAUGUCACUGGUUCUGUCACUUCCUGGCCGCGCUCGUUCCUCUCCGUUUAUCUUUUCAUUUCAUGGUUUCCUACUCAUCCGACUACAUAAUAUGCCUUCCUUGUAUUUUUUCUUCUUUUUACUUUAGUCCCUCUCUUUCUUCUUCUUUCAUCCACUUUGCUCACAACAUUUUUGUUUUCCCUUGUUUUUGUUCUUUUUCUAUUUUUUUAAUUUCUGUUUUUUUUUAACUUUUAAUUUUUUUUGUUUUUGUAAAUAUGAAAAAACAGGCAAAUGGAUUGAGAAUAAUUGGCCGAAUCUUGUUUGUUUUUUUUUUUUUUUGCAUUUUUUGAAAUCAUAUUGAAAAACAGUGUAGAAGACAAUGUUUUUCAAUUGAUGAUUGGUGAGGGUUGUUGAUUUUUUAUUUUUUAAAAGUAUUUUUGAUAAAAUUUAUUUAUUUAUUAUUUUAAAUUAAAUUGUUAUUUAUGUUUUUAAAUAUUUUAAUGGGUUGAUAUAAAAAUAAUUAAAAAAUUAUUAUUUUAAUAUAUUUUUAAAUAAAAUAUAUUUUAAAACCUACUACAAUAUCAAAUAUGAUUAUCAAUUUGUCUUUAUAUAUAAGAGAGGGAAUCUUCUCCCUCUUACUAUUUAUUUUUCUGAUUUUUUUUUUCAAACUUUAGCCAACAACUUUGCUUGUCUCCUCAUUUUUUUUCAUGGUAGGUGGAGUUGGUUGUCUUUUUAAUUUUUUUUUUUGUAUUGGGAUCAAAAGAUGGCUGGCUUUUAUUUGUCAAUGAGAGAGGGAGAGAGAGAGGGACUUGUUUUUGUCAUUGAAAAUUAAAGGAGUAGAGAGUCUGUCAUUGAAAAAUAAUAAUAAAAAAACAGCUGUUUUGAGGGGUGUUUUCUAAUGUUUUAAAAGUAUUUUUAGUUUGAAAAAAUAUUAAAUUGAUAUUUUUUAUUAUUUUAAUAUAUUAAUUUUUAAAAUAAAAAAAAUCUAAAAGCAAUUAUUAUAAAACAUUUUAUAUAAAAACAUUAUUUAAAAAAAUACCCUGCACAACAUUCUCAAAUAUUCUAAAGUAAUAUUUGUUUUUGUGAUGGCAUUAUAAUUUUUUAAAAAUUAAAUGUUUUUAAUAUAAAUUAAUAUAUUUUAGUAUUUUUGGAUCAUAUUUUGAUUUCCUAUGUCUCGAAAAUUAAAAAAUUAUAAUUUUAAUAAUUUUUAAGUAAAAAAUAAUUUAAAAUUAUUAUAAUAAAAAACAAUAUCUUAAUGUUGAAAAAGGAUGGAUGUUGUUGUUUCUCAAUUAUUUCUCCUCCCUCAAUUAUUUCAUGUCACUCCCUCCAUCAUUUUUUCAAAGUCUUCCUUUUUUUGUCUUUCUAGAUUUUCUGUCCCCCUCCUUUCGCUUUCGGUUGUUACUCAAAAGAAAAUGGCUCCUCCUUUGGAUAAUUCUUUGAGUGUGUUUAGCACUACGUUUAUGAAAAAAAAUUUAAUUUAUUAGUUUAUUUAUAUUUUUAGAUUAUUUUAAUAUAAUAAUAUUAAAAAUAAUUUUUUUAAAAAUAUAUUAUUUUAAAAUAUUUUACAAAGAACAAAAUAUUUUAAUACAUAACUUUUAACACGCUUACAAGCAACCAUUUACCUUCUGCUUUCUCAAUCAUUUCCACGUGCCAAAGUCCUGAGCUGUUAAGUACACUGAUUACAUAUAGUCUAUGUAAGUACGUGCACGUGCCAGCUAACACUAACUAAAUGUACUUGCACUUAGUGCGUUUAUCAUUUGUCUUUUCUUUUAAUUUUGAUUUAUAUUGAAAAAUAACAUCAAUAUUAAUUUAAUAAAAAAACAAAAAUCAAAAUUAUGUUGAUUAAAUUUUUUAUUUUCAAAUUUUUUUUGAAUAUCUUUCAAUCUGGUUAGCUUAUAUAAUUCAUUACCCGAGAUGUAAAUAAGCUAUUAUAAAUGAGUUAGGUUUAAUAAAUUUACAUUAAAUUGCAUUUAAAGAGCCUUAUGGGAAUGUUAUAAAUUUUGUUUUUAAUUCUUUAUUUGAUAAUAUAUCAAUUUUUUUUAUAUUAAUAUAUUAAAAUAAUUUAAAAAUAUUAAAAAAAUAAUAAUUUUAAAAUAAAAAAAAGUUUUAAAAAAUUCCAAAAAUCGUAAAGCAGGGGCCAUAUACGGGGUAUUAUUAAGAUUUUCCCAACACAUUAAUAUGGAUUAUGAUUUGCACAAAAAUUAAUCAACCGAUUGACGACCUGUCGUUUUACCCUCACCAGCUUCUUUAGUUGUCUCCCCUCCGCUCCAGUGGGUGGUGCUAGGGUGUCGUCUCCUACUUCAAUGGAGGAGAAGAUUUGCAGCGAGUUGAAACUCGAUAAGUUAAGGCAACAAAGCCUCAACCGAAGUCUCAAUGAAAUUCACGAGCCUCUUCCAUUCUCUCCCUCACUCUUCAAUGGAAAGAUAUCGAAACUCACUUCGAGUCCACUUUCAAUUCCAUCGAAGACUCCGCCAAAGCGCUUCGCACGAAGGAACGGCAACUGGAGGCGAGAGAGAAGGAAUUUGAAUCGAAGGAGAAGGAGUUUGAGGAACGGUGCGAAGAGUUUAUAAAGUUGAGAGAUGCGGAGAUUGAGGAGCAUUAUAAAGAGAUUGAGUUGAAGGAGAAGGAUUUUGAGGAACGGCGUAGAGAGGUUGACUUGGAGAGGAAGCGGUUGGAGGUGAGGCGGAAGGAAGUCGAAGAGAGGGAGGAGUUGGUGGGAAAGAAGUUUGUUGGAGAGAUUGAGUUGAAGGAGAAGAAAAUCGAGGAAAGGCGAAAGGAAAUUGAAGUGGAAAGGAAGAAGCUUGUUGAAGGGAUAAUGUUGAAGGAGAAGAAAAUUGAGGAAAGGCGAAAGCAAAUUGAAGUGGAAAGGAAGAAGCUUGUUGAAGGGAUAAUGUUGAAGGAGAAGAAAAUCGAGGAAAGGCGAAAGGAAAUUGAAGUGGAAAGGAAGAAGCUUGUUGAAGAGUUUGAGUUGAAGGAGAAGCAACUGAAUGAAGGGCGCAGGGAAGUUGCAUGGGUGAAGUUGAAGGUUGGGGAACAACUUAAGGAGUGUGAAUUGAAGGAGAGACGGCUUGAGGAUAGGGCUUUGGAGAUUGAAUUGGCGAGGAAGAGAAAUGUGGAGUUUUUUGAAGAGCUUAAAUUGAAGCAAAAGGAAGUUGAAUCGGAGGACAUGAAAAACAAGAAGUUUAUAGAGGAGUUUGAAUUGAAAGAGAAACAAUUUGAUGAAAGGUGCAAGGAAGUUGAAUCGGAGAGAAAGAAGUUUGUUGAAAAGCUUGAAUUGAAGGAGAAGCAACUUCUGGAGCAGCAGAAAGAAGUUGAAUUGGAAAACAAGAAAAUUAAGAAGUUUUUUGAAGAGCUUGAGUCGAAAGAAAUAAAUUUUGGGCAGAAAGUCAGAGAAAGGUAUGAUGAAAUUGAGUUGAAGGAGAAGAAAGUCGAGGAAGAGUUGAGAGAAGUUGCAUUGAGAGAAGAGAGGGUGGAGAAGAGAUUUAGAGGGGUUGAAGAGAAGGAGAGGAGGGUUAGAGAGCUGUUUAAGGAAGUUAGGGUGAAAGAUGAUGAGUUUAGGGAAUGGAGAAAAGGGGUUGAGUUGAAAGAGAAGGAACUUGAGAUGAAAGGUAGGGAGGUCGAGGAGAGGAUUAAAGAGAUUGGAUUGAAAGAUAGGAUGGUUGAGGAGAGGAUUAAAGAGAUUGGAUUGAAAGGCAGGGAGGUUGAGGAGAGGGUUAAAGAGAUUGAAUCGAUGGAGAAGAAUGUUAGCAAAAGGAGCGAGGAAGUUGAAUUGGAUAGGAGAAAAUUAGAGGAAGGAUUUAGAGAACUUGAGUUGAAAAGCAGGGAGGUUGAGGAGAUAAUUAAAGGGGUUGAGUUGAAGGAGAAGGAAUUGGAGGAACGGUGUCUGAGGUUUGAUUUGAAAGGGAAGCAAAUUGAAGAGGUUCAGUUGAAGGAACUAGAAGAGAGGUUACGGGAAGUUGAAAUGGAAAAUAAGAAGCGCUUGGAGCGAAUUAAGGAGUUUGAGUUGAAGGAGAAACAAGUUGCUGAUGCUUGUAAUGCCCGUGUGAAGUCGGAGACCGUAGAUUAUUCUAUAGAUGCCAACCUACAUUUUUCAGUGAAAAUGGAUGGAAAGGCAUUGCAAAUGUUUUUAAAUAAGCGUUGUAAACAUGAUGAGAAGAUGAAGAACGAGGUAUCUAUUGCUUUGGGACUUUCCUCGGAUCCUGCAAAGCUGGUUUUGGAUGCAAUGGAAGGGUUUUACCCGCCCCAUUUGAGGGAGGGUGAUGUGGAGUUCAACGAGCUUGUUGUGAAAAGAAGUUGCAAUCUUUUGCUUGAGCAAUUAAUGAAAAUAUCCCCAACAAUCAAACCCCAUGUGAGAGAAGAAGCAACGAAACUUGCCUUUCUUUGGAUGACAAAGAUGACAGUGGAUGAUCAGCACAAUUUAGAUGUUUUGGGAUUUUUUUAUCUCUUGGCUGCUUAUGGACUGGCCUCUGCCUUUGAUUCAGAUGAGCUCAUAAGCCGUUUGGUGAUUAUUGCUCGAAAUAGGGAGAUUCCUGAAUUCUUGCGUGUCCUUGAACUAGGAGAUAAAAUUCCUGGUAAGUUUCUAAUCCUUGUGCUCAGUAUGAUUUUUUUGCUUUCUUCUGUGUCUAUAAUCUAGUAAUCCUUUUUCUUCCCUACCAUGCUAUUAAUGAAUUAUAACUAUUCUAUAUUUGGUAUUGGCAGAAACUUGUAUGUGAUUAAAUUUAUAGUUUAUUUCACAUCUCAAGAUUCUGUUAUGUAAAUACAAGAUAGUGGAAAAUUAUGGAAAUGCUUAAAAAUGUUGGUCGUUUUUGGAAGCUUUCUUUGGUGGCAAGUCAAUGAAUCCUUUGUUGAAUGGAGAAUGCACUGUAUACCCUGUGUUUGGAGCAGAAAUGUAUGUAACUGGAAUUAAAGGCCUAUUUGAGUGCUUAUAGUCAUUUGUUACGGUGUUGUCAAGAGUAGUAAAGGUCAAGGAUAAUCUUCUGCUAGUGCUAGCAUCACCUGUCAAUUUUUAAGCAUCGUAUAGCCAAAUUAGGCUUGGGAAAUCCGCUUAAAUCCAUGGCUUGAAGCACACCAGUUUUUCCUUCCAACUUAGCCAUUGAUUUCCUUAAUGCCUGGUGAAAAUUAAUUGAUUCGAUUCUCAAUCAAUUAUUUUUUUCAUUUGAAAUAUCUACUGGAGCGUGAUAGAAUUUGUAACUAUUCUUUUGCAUGCUUAUAACAGGUUUUAUUGAAAAUCUUAUCGUGAAGAAACAGCACAUGGAAGCUAUCAGAUUCAUUUGUGCAUUUGAGAUGGUUAAUCAGUUCCCACCCGGACCUAUCUUGAGGGAUUACUUAAGUGGUUCCAAGAGUGCAGCCAAAAAAAUUAGGAGGAGGAAUUCAAUUGAAGGACUGGUAUGUUUUGCUGGUUUUCUCCUUCAAUAAGUCAUCUCUUCUCUUGCGUAUGAUCCAACUGUUAAUAUAUUCUCACACUUAAAACUUGCUAGCAGGUUGAGUCUGUAAACAGAAGAGUAGCUGACCUAAUGGUUGUACUGAAAUGCGUUGAAGAUUACAAGCUUGAAACUGUAUUCUCACCAGAUAUCCUCAAGCGACAAAUUAUAGAUGUCCGAAGACAACUUUCAAUUAGGGAAACAAAGUUACCAAACCUGGGCAGCAAUUCUCCUCAGCCUAAUCUGAGUGAGAACAAACGUUUGGCCCGAAAUGCUGCUGCUUCUGCCUCUGUCCUGUCGUCCAAAUCUGUCUCUGUCUCUGCCACUAAACCUGCUCUCAAAUCAACGAUGGCUGCCUGUACUGCUACCUCAGCUGCUCCCAUUACAUUCACCUCCUACAUUGCUUCCCCAGUCACAGUCACCUCUCUUGCCCCAAUGCCUGCCUUUAUUGCUAAUCCAGUCGUCCCUAUCAUUGUUACUUCUCCCUCCACAACAGCCGCUGUUGCCUCUCCCGCCUCUACUGCAUCCAUUACCCAAAGUACAGUUGUCUCCCCCUCCUCAAGCAGUGCAUCACCUUCUGGCUCAAUCCCCAAGACUGAACCAAAAUACCAGGGCUGUCAAGCAGAGUACCAGGGCGGAAAUAAACGCUGUCAAGCACAGUACCUGGGAAGUGAUAAGCACCCGCACCCUCAAGAACAACACCAGAGUGGAAAUAAGCGCCCUCGGAUUGCUAAAUCAUCAGAGGUUCCUCUAAGAGCACCAUUACUUCAAAACACUGGCAUUGCACACCCGGUGCCUGUCCCUCAUCUGCGAGCAGGUCCUUUUAUAAAUCAAAGGGCACCAUAUUUGAACCCAUCUGGCCGACACUACAAUUGUGCUGGUUAUGGCCCACCAAACCCACAGAUGAGCUCCCAUUAUAAUUAUGGAUAUCCAUAUUAUCAUUAGAACACAUUUGGAAAACCUGGCUAUGACGGUGCUGCCCCCCUUCUGCGGCCAUAGAAUGUUUAAACUUUUUGCAGGUGUGGUUCCACAUAAUGUUAAUACUUAUUUUUUGCCUUGUAUGGUAGUCUUAUCUGCUGCAUAGCUUGGUGUAUAUAAUCGACUUAAUGGUCUGGUUACCUCGGAGAUUUGGGAUCACAAAUGCAAGAGCCUGUCUUUUCUUGUUAUUGUUCUUUAGUUUUCAAAUUUUCAUGUCUUUUCUCCUUCGGUUCUCUAGGACAAUCUUACCCCAUCUGUCAGGAAUUCGAUAUUGUUUGAUCUACUUGUAUUAGAAUUUGAUUUAGUCUGAGCUCAUCAGCUGGACAAUCUAGCAUCACUGCAUAUCAGCCUAUAAACCCAGCUAUGAACUCCUUUAUAAUGCUGUAAAUCCUUGUUGUCAUUGGAGCAUACAUGGACCACCUGACUAUGAUAAUGCGACAUCCUUUCAGAGACCACCAGGUGAAUUGCCCGCGCAAUGCCUCGGAUUCUAACAAGAAAGAAGGUGAUAGAAUAAAAUGAAAAAAAUAAUAAUAAUAAAUUGGCAAGCAUUGAGAUUAAACUGAGCGGCCAUACGGAGUAGGCUAUUAGCACGAUGUCUUAACAAUUCAAAAAAGGUGGAGAAUCAAGCAUCUCGGGUGCUAAUUAUGGUUGCAAUACCAGCACAUCAGUAUUUGUAACUGAUACAACAAAAUAAGCCGUAAGGAACGAAAGCGAAACAUCUGCAACUGGUUAGUGAAGGAAUCUGAUGUUGGAACAGCAGGGGCUACACGAAGAACUGCCAAAAAGAAGAAGAAAGAAAGAGCAUGAAAUCCUGACGGAGCUGCUCGAAAACUUCAUCUACGACACAGUUUCUUCAUUAGCUCUCUCACUCUCCUGUUUUUCGCACACAAGUUGGACAAAGUCUUCAGAAGCUGAAGUCUUUGCUCGAAGAAAGUCCUAUAGAAUCAAAUAAUUAACCUCCUCCAUUGAGCAGACAUCAAACUCAGGUAAAGAGAAGAAAACUGAUGGGAAAGUCAAGAAAAAAUACCAAUCAAAUGAUAUUCCAGUUGAAAGAAGUUGAAAAAAAGUGAAAUGUAAGGAAAAAAGGAAAAAGAAUAAAGCAGCAGCCGCACCAGUCUAACAAAAUACAAAGAGUGAAUCCACAGGUCGAGGAACCAAAACACAGACAAACAAACUUCACAAUGCAACCAAAGGCGCAGUGCGGAAACUAUAACACUUCUCUCACUUAGCUGAAGAUAUUCUGCUCAUAGACAGUCCUGAUGCAUUUCAAAACCUGCAAUGCAUCAGCAAGUCAACUGAAAGGAAUGACAGAAAAAAACUUGUUGCAUGAAUCAAGUCUAGCAUCAAUGCGGACAGACUAAAAAACGAAACUAAAAUGGCAUCAAGUCUGGAAGAUAGAAUCAUAUUGAUGCAGGCCCCAAAAACAAAACCCGACUAAUCCGGGAAUAGGAUUCUGGGUUGGACAAUCAGUUAAUCAUUUGAUCCUAACAAUCUCAUAACAAUCAGUUAAUCUUUGAACCUUAUGAAUCCUUUUUUUUUAUAACCAAUAACCAUAGCCCACAUUACUGCAUGUAGAAAUCCUUUUUAAUCAAACAAGCAAGUGACUCGGAAAAAUAAAUAGUGCUCUCAAAAUACAAAGAGUAUUUUUUCAUAAGAAUCAUGAUAUUGAAAACAAACUACUCAUUAUUAUUCAUACUGAUAAAAUGAAUGUUCGAAAAGAGACAAAUUCUUUUCAAACAAAACUUAGAGUUUUCUCUCGAGCUUUCCGCUUUGAAACCCACAAAAACAUAAGGUCACCUCAUGAUGUACCUUCACCUCCUUUCCAAGAAAAAUAACAUGGGAGUUACAUGAUUCAUUCUAAACAAAUAUUCCUUCACUAAAACUAAAAAAAAUUAAAGGAAAGAAGGGUUAAUCAGAAUUAUUAUUUGUUUGAGUCACUGACAAAGCACACUUAGGGACAAUGAUCAAUAUAAGAGGGCAAUAUUGUACUUAGAAGGGGAUUUGAUCUAUUUGGGUAAUGGAAAAAAAAAAAAGGAAAGGAAAUUUCUUUCAACGAGACAAAAUGGGCAUUCUUGCUUACAAAAUAUCGUUUGGUCCUUUCAACGAGUAACACUGAAUGUUGUUAGCAGUGAGACAAUGAAUUAAUGAAUGAUUUUCUCAAAUUGAUCAACAAGACAAAUAAUUUCCAGUGAGUAAAUAGGUCACGAUGGACAUGAUAAAAACUGAGAUGAGUAAUAUUGCAAAUAUUCUGGAAAAGACUUAUAUAAGCCAACUCAAGUGAACUAAAAGUCAAGCGACCAAGAGGGCUCAAAUCAGAAUUAGCAAAACCUCAUCAAUUAUGCAACAAAGAAGGUUUAGAUGAAAUGAGGGCUUAUAUUUUCAAUCAUGAAAAGGUGUAUACAUAUCAUCUAAAACUUUGAGCAAUGUGUUUUGUAAAGAUACAUAACAGAAAUCCCUAAUGAGAUCCAUCAAAAGAAAUGAUAUCUCGAAGUAGCCAAGAAUUGAAAAUACUUUUGAAAUUUUUUACUUUUGAGAAAUUUUUAACCUGAUGAGGUCACUUAUUACAAUGAGAUCAUUUUUAAAAAAUCUUUAUAUUUUUCCACCUGGGUAUGUCACCAAUUACAAUGAAACUAUUUCUGAAAAUCUCUUAUAUUUUUGCAUCUAGGUAGGUCACCCAUUACAAUGAAACUAUUUUUGAAAGUCUCUUAUAUUUUUGCACCUGGGUAGGUCACCCAUUACAAUGAAAUUAUUUUUUAAAAAAUCUUUGUAUUCUUCACCUGGAUAGGUCACCCAUUACAAUGACACUAUUUCUAAAAAAAUCUUUGUAUUUUUUCACCUGGAUGGGUCAUCCAUUACAAUGAGACCGUUUUUUUUUUUCUUAAAUUAGUAUAAUUGUUUCAAAACGGUCUCAUUGUAAUGGAUGACCGUUUUGAAAUUAGUCAUUUGAAAGGUAAUUUUUACCAUGAAUAGAUCACCCAUUACAAUGAGAUAACUUUUAAAAAAUCCUUAUAUUUUUCACCAUCUGGUAGGUCACCUAAAACUAUUAGAUUACUUUAGAAAAAUCCUUGUAUUUUUCACCAUCAAGUUGGUCGUUUGGAGCAAUUAAACCACUUUUAAAAAAUUAUUGUAUUUUUCAUCAUUGAACAGGUCGUCUGGAAUAAUUAAACUACUUUCAAAAAAUCUUUGUAUUUUUCACCAACAGGCAGGUUAGUUGCAACAAUUAGAUCACUUUCAAAAAAAUCCUUCUAUUUUUCACCAACUAGUAGGUUGCUUAGAACAAUUAGACCAUUAAAAAAAAAUCUUUAUAUUUUUCACCAUUAGGCAAGUUGUCUGGAACAAUUAGACUAUUUAAAAAAAAAAAAUCAUUGACAAGGAAAGUUACCUUUCAAAUGACUAAUUUCUAAUUUCUCAAUUUUAAAUUGUUCAAUGUAUUUGCAUCAUAAAUAUUAUAAAAAAGUGACAACUGUCAUAACUCAAUUUUUUAUUCUUUUUAUUUUUUAUUUUAUUUUUUUAAUAAAAAUAAUAAAAAAAUGAUGAAGAGUAAAUUGAAAUUUGGGUCAAGACAACAUAAAUUGAAAGUCUAGGGGCUUAAUUAAACUUUUGAUUAGUUUAAUUAAUCAAAUCAAGAGUUUAAUUGAUUUUUUCAGGGGUAAUUUUGAAAAAAUUAAAAGUUGAAGAGCCAAUUAAGGACUGGAUUGAUUAAAUUGAAAACUAUGGACUGUUUUGUAAAUGGCGCCAAAAUCCAGGUGUUCAAUUGCAAUUAAUCUAGGGGCAAAAUUAAAAAUAGAUUUUUCUUGAAUAAGGGCCCAAUUGUUAAAUGUCAUAAGUUCAGGAGGGCAAGUUUUAAAUAGCUAUUGCAGAGUAGAAGACGACGCCGUUUCAAAAACUAUUCAUCGCCUUCUUCCUAGGAACCGUUUCAGCAGUAAAGGCACCAAAACCGUUUCACGGACCAAGUCUCCCAGCUGCUAUCCCUCGCCUCCACGAUGCACGAACGCUUGGCAUUCUCUGGCUAUAAAAGCAAGAGAAGAGAAGAGAAUGGUGGAGAAAAAAAAACACGAAAGAAACUGAGGGAAGAAGGGAGAAAACUGAGAAGAACGAAAACACAGGGACAAAGGGAGUGAAAGAGAGAACAGGGACGAACAGAGGAAACCUGGGAACAGAGACGCGAAGGAGAAAGACAGAGGCACAAAACAGAAGGAAACCAAGGAGGAGCAAAUACAGGGAGAGAGGAAGGCCGAAAAAAACCAGUAGAGAGAGAAGCAAACAAACAGAAAUAGGGACAGAAACGAAGAGGGAGAAGGACCAGAGAACACGAACAGAGAAAACAGAGCCGAAGAAAAGAACAACCAGAGGGAAAACAAGCGGAAAGAGGAACAGAGCGAGCAUCGUCCAAUACACCAUCAUCUUCAGCUACGCAGGUAAGCUUUCGUUUUCCCUCCCCUUAGAAAUAUAAUUACCCUGUCACUGUGCACGUGCACGUGCCAGCUGACACUAAAUAUACUUGCACUUAGUGUGUUAGCCGUUAUCAUUUAUCUUUUCUUUUAAUUAGAAUUUGGAAUAAACAUGUUAAUUGUUGAACGAGUUAAAAGCAAAGCUUUGAAUUUUAAAUUUUUCAAAAAAACUUUGAUAAUCAUGAAAAUGAUGAGAAUGCAUUAAAAUUAUAUUUUUUUUGAAAUUAUAUUUUAAAAUAUAUUUAAAAUUACAAAAAGGGCAUGACGGCGUCAUAGACACUUUUUUUAAAAAAAAAAAAUUGGUGUUUUUUUUUAAUAAAAAAAACUCUUAGAAAAAGGGAUCAAAAUUGGUUACCUCAAAGUUCAAUAAAACAUGAAUCCUAUGUUAAUGCUGUGGCAUGGAUUUUAUGACUUUCAACCUUCAGUUUCGAAUAACUUAACAAACCAUGGAUUUUAUGUCGAUAUAUGAUUUAAUGAACAAACACUUUUGAGAUUUUAAAUGAUAUGACAAAUACAUAUAGCAUGAGAAAUAAAGAAAUUUAAAACAAGUUUAUGUAAAACAUAAAUGAUAAGCUAAAAGUGCUAAAUAAUAUGAUAUAUAUAUAUGUUGUGCAUGAAUUGUUUGAUUAUAUAUGGCAACUUAAUUUAUUAUUUAUUUUUAAAUUUGAUGUUAUAUAUAGUAUAAUAAUAAUCACACAUAUUAAAGAAUAAUAUAAAUUAUAUCUUAAAAUUUCAGUUUAAAUUUUUAAAUUGAGAUGAUUCUUUAAUAAUAUAUUAAGUUUUUUUUAUCACAAGUUUAAAUCUCAUCAUUUUCCAUAUAAGUUUUAAAUUCAAAUUAUUUUUAUUUAAAUAAAUAUUUUAAAGAAUAAUAUAAAUUAUAUCUCAAGAAUACAAUUAAUAAUUUAAAUUUUUAAACAAAAAUAUAAAGCAUAUAGGUUGCAUGGAAAAGACAACGGUCUAAGAUUGUAUUUCGCCAAGUUUUAAAUAAAAUCAACUUGAAGAAUUUGACAAUUUAACUUUUUAUAAGGUCUAUAAUCUAGUUUAUUUUCUAUAUAUAUAAAAAAUUAAAAUCAUCUUGUUUAAACUUUUUAUUUUAAAAAACAUUCAAUCUUUCAAUCUAACUAACUUAUAUAAUUCAUGACUCGAGCUAUAUUAUAAAAUGAGUCAAGUUUAAUUAACUUUACAUGAAAUUAUUUUGAAAGAGUUUGUUUGAAAGUGUUAUAAAUAUUUAUUUUUAAAAUUAUUUUUACUUAGUAAUACAUCUGAUAUUGUUUUUUAUAAAAUUUAUUUUUGAUAUAAAUAUAUUAAAAUAAUUCAAAAAUAUAUUAAAUAUAAUAAUUUAAAACUAAAAAAAUAAAAUUUAAAAAACUUCAAAAAUAGUAUAACAGGUUCCAUAUACGGGAUAUUAUUAAGGUUUUCCCAUCACAUUAAUAGUGAUUAUGAUUUGCUCAAAAACUAAUUAACCAAUUGACGACGACCUGUCGUUUUACCCUCACCAGCUUUUUUGGUGGUCUCCCCUCCGCUCCAGGUAGUGGUGCUAGGGUAUCGUCUCCUACUUCAAUGGAGGAGAAGAUUUGCAGCGAGUUGAAACUCACUAAGUUAAGGCAACAAAGCUUCAACCGAAGUCUCAAUGAAAUUCACGAGCAAGCCUCUUCCAUUCUCUCCCUCACUCUUCAAUGGAAAGAUAUCGAAACUCACUUCGAGUCCACUUUCAAUUCCAUCGAAGACUCCGCCAAAGAGCUUCACACGAAGGAACGGCAACUGGAGGGGAGAGAGAAGGAAGUUGAAUCGAAGGAGAAGGAGUUUGAGGAACGGUGCGAAGAGUUUAUAAAGUUGAGAGAUGCGGAGGUUGAGGAGCAUUAUAAAGAGAUUGAAUUGAAGGAGAAGGAUUUUGAGGAACGACGAAGAGAGGUUGAAUCGGAGAGGAAGCGGUUGGAGGAGAGGCGGAAGGAAGUCGAAGAGAGGGAGGAGUUGGUGAGAAAGAAGUUUGUUGAAGGGAUUGAGUUGAAGGAGAAGGAAAUUGAAGUGGAAAGGAAGAAGCUUGUUGAAAGGAUUGAGUUGAAGGAGAAGAAAAUUGAGGAAAGGCAAAAGGAAAUUGAAGUGGAAAGGAAGAAGCUUGUUGAAAGGAUUGAGUUGAAGGAGAAGAAAAUUGAGGAAAGGCAAAUGGAAAUUGAAGUGGAAAGGAAGAAGCUUGUAGAAGGGUUUGAGUUGAAGGAGAAGAAAAUCGAGGAAAGGCAAAAGGAAAUUGAAGUGGAAAGGAAGAAGCUUGUCGAAGGGUUUGAGUUGAAGGAGAAGAAAAUCGAGGAAAGGCAAAAGGAAACUGAAGUGGAAAGGAAGAAGCUUGUCGAAGAGUUUGAGUUGAAGGAGAAGCAACUGAAUGAAGGGCCCAGGGAAGUUGCAUGGGUGAAGUUGAAGGUUGGGGAACAACUUAAGGAGUGUGAAUUGAAGGAGAGACGGCUUGAGGAUAGGGCUUUGGAGAUUGAAUUGGUGAGGAAGAGAAAUGUGGAGUUUUUUGAAGAGCUUAAAUUGAAGCAAAAGGAAGUUGAAUCGGAGGACAUGAAAAACAAGAAGUUUAUAGAGGAGUUUGAAUUGAAAGAGAAACAAUUUGAUGAAAGGUGCAAGGAAGUUGAAUCGGAGAGAAAGAAGUUUGUUGAAAAGCUUGAAUUGAAGGAGAAGCAACUUCUGGAGCAGCAGAAAGAAGUUGAAUUGGAAAACAAGAAAAUUAAGAAGUUUUUUGAAGAGCUUGAGUCGAAGGAGAAGCAAGUUGAAGAAAGGCGCCUGGUAGCUGAAUUGGGGAAUAAAAAGUAUGUUGAAGAGGUUGAAUUGAAGGAAAAGCAACUUGAAGAGCGGUGUACGGUAGUGGAGUCGGAAAAGAAGAAACUUGAGGAACAGUCCAAGGAGAUUGAACUGAAGGAGAAACAUCUUGAAGAGCAGUUGAAAGAAGUUGAAUCAGCAAACAAGAGGUUUUUCGAACAAGCUAAAGAGCUUGAGUUGAAGGAGAAGCACCUCCUGGAGGGGUUUAAGGAACUUGAAAUGGAAAAUUUGGUUAAGUUGAAAGAAGAGAACUCUAAGGAGUGGAGAAGAGAGCUUGAGUUGAAAGAGAUAAAUUUUGGGCAGCAAGUUAGAGAAAGGUAUGAUGAAAUUGAGUUGAAGGAGAAGAAAGUGGAGGAAGAGUUUAGAGAAGUUGCAUUGAGAGAAGAGAGGGCGGAGAAGAGAUUUAGAGAGGUUGAAGAGAAGGAGAGGAGGGUUAGAGAGCUGUUUAAGGAAGUUAGGGUGAAAGAUGACGAGUUUAGGGAACGGAGAAAAGGGGUUGAGUUGAAAGGUAGAGAGGUUGAGGAGAGGAUUAAAGAGAUUGGAUUGAAAAGAAGGUUGAGGAGAGGAAGAUGGUGAAGGAUAGAAGGUUGAGGAGGCUUAAGAGAUUGGAUUGAAAGAUAGGAAGGUUGAGGAGGCUUAAAGAGGUUGGAUUGAAAGAUAGGAAGGUUGAGCAGAGGCUUAAAGAUCUUGGAUUGAAAGGCAGGGAGGUUGAGGAGAGGGUUAAAGAGAUUGAAUCGAUGGAGAAGAAUGUUGGCAAAAGGAGCGAGGAAGUUGAAUUGGAUAGGAGAAAAUUAGAGGAAGGAUUUAGAGAACUUGAGUUGAAAAGCAGGGAGGUUGUGGGGAUAAUUAAAGGGGUUGAGUUGAAGGAGAAGGAAUUGGAGGAACGGUGUAGGGGGUUUGAUUUGAAAGGGAAGCAAAUUGAAGAGGUUCAGUUGAAGGAGAAGGAACUAGAAGAGAGGUUACGGGAAGUUGAAAUGGAAAAUAAGAAGUGCUUGGAGCGAAUUAAGGAGUUUGAGUUGAAGGAGAAACAAGUUGCUGAUGCUUGUAAUGCCCGUGUGAAGUCGGAGACCGUAGAUUAUUCUAUGGAUGCUAACCUACAUUUUUCAGUGAAAAUGGAUGGAAAGGCAUUGCAAAUUUUAUUAAAUAAGCGUUGUAAACAUGAUGAGAAGAUGAAGAACGAGGUAUCUAUUGCUUUGGGACUUUCCUUGGAUCCUGCAAAGCUGGUUUUGGAUGCAAUGGAAGGGUUUUACCCGCCCCAUUUGAGGGAGGGUGAUGUGGAGUUCAAAGAGGUUGUUGUGAAAAGAAGUUGCAAUCUUUUGCUUGAGCAAUUAAUGAAAAUAUCCCCAGCAAUCAAACCACAUGUGAGAAAAGAAGCAACGAAACUUGCCUUUCUUUGGAUGACAAAGAUGACAGUGGAUGGUUACCACAAUAUGGAUGUUUCGGGAUUUUUUUAUCUCUUGGCUGCUUAUGGACUGGCCUCUGCUUUUGAUUCAGAUGAGCUCAUAAGCCGUUUGGUGAUUAUUGCUCGAAAUAAGCAGACUCCUGAAUUCUUGCGUGUCCUUGAACUAGGAGAUAAAAUUCCUGGUAAGUUCCUAAUCCUUGUGCUCAGUAUGAUUUUUUUGCUUUCUUCUGUGUCUAUAAUCUAGUAAUCCUUUUUCUUCCCUACCAUGCUAUUAAUGAAUUAUAACUAUUCUAUAUUUGGUAUUGGCAGAAACUUGUAUGUGAUUAAAUUUAUAGUUUAUUUCACAUCUCAAGAUUCUGUUAUGUAAAUACAAGAUAGUGGAAAAUCAUGGAAAUUCUUAAAAAAGUUGGUCGUUUUUGAAGCUUUCUUUGGUGGUAAGUCAAUGAAUCCUGUAUUGCAUGGAGAAUGCACUGUAUACCCUGUGUUUGGAGCUGAAAUGCAUGUAAUUGCAAUGAAAGGCCUAUUUUAGUGUUCAGCUUAUAGUCAUUUGUUACGGUGUUGUCAAGAGUGGUAAAGGUCAAGGAUAAUCUUCUACUAGUGCUAGCAUCACCUGUCAAUUUUUAAGCAUCGUAUAGCCAAAUUAGCCUUGGGAAAUCCAUGGCUUGAAGCACACCAAUUUUUCCUUUCAAUUUAGCCCUUGACUUAUUUAAUGCCUGGUGAAAAUUAAUUGAUUCGAUUCUCUUUCAAUUAUUUUUUUUCAUUUGAAAUAUCUACUGGAGCGUGAUAGAACUUGUAACUAUUCUUUUGCAUGCAUAUAACAGGUUUAAUUCAAAAUCUUAUCUUAAAGAAACAGCCAAUGGAAGCUAUCAGAUUCAUUUAUGCAUUUAAGAUGGUUAAUCAGUUCCCACCCGGACCUAUCUUGAGGGAUUACUUAAGUGGUUCCAAGAUUGCAGCCAGAAAAAUUAAGAAGAGUAGCAAAUCAAUUGAAGGACUGGUAUGUUUUGCUGGCUUUCUCCUUCAAGAUGUCAAUCUCUUCUCUUGUGUAUGAUCCAACUGUUAUUAUAUGCUCACACUUAAAACUUGCUAACAGGUUGAGUCUGUAAAGAGAAGAGUAGCUGACCUAAUAGUUGUACUGAAAUGCGUUGAAGAUUACAAGCUUGAAACUGUAUUCUCACCAAAUAGCCUCAAACAAAUAAAAGAUGUCGAAAGACAACUUUUAAUUAGGAAAACAAAGUUACCAAACCUGGGCAGCAAUUCUCCUCAGCCUAAUCUGAGUGAGAAGAAACGUUUGGCCCCAGGAGCUGCUGCCUCUGCCUCUGUCCUUGCACCCAAAUCUGUCUCUGCCACUAAACCUGCUCUCAAUUCCACGAUGGCCGCCUGUACUGCUACCUCAACUGCUCCCAUCACAGUCACCUCCCUCUCUCCAACUGUUGCCUACGUUGCUUCC
rnacentral:lncRNA from 1 species